rnacentral:rRNA from 1 species
UACAGAGGUGGCAAGCGUUGUUCGGAAUUACUGGGCGUAAAGGGCGCGUAGGCGGGAUGGCAAGUCGGUCGUGAAAUCCUUCGGCUCAACCGAAGAACGUCGGCCGAUACUGCCGUUCUUGAGGGAUGCAGAGGAGAUUGGAAUUCCCGGUGUAGCGGUGAAAUGUGUAGAGAUCGGGAGGAACACCGGUGGCGAAGGCGGGUCUCUGGGCAUCUCCUGACGCUGAGGCGCGAAAGCGUGGGGAGCAAACGGG